rnacentral:rRNA from 1 species
GCCAGACUCCUACGGGAGGCAGCAGUGAGGAAUAUUGGUCAAUGGGCGGGAGCCUGAACCAGCCAAGUCGCGUGAGGGAAGACGGUCCUAUGGAUUGUAAACCUCUUUAGGCGGGGAGCAAUGCCGGGCACGCGUGUCCGGAGGGAGAGUACCCGCAGAAUAAGCAUCGGCUAACUCCGUGCCAGCAGCCGCGGUAAUACGGAGGAUGCGAGCGUUAUCCGGAUUUAUUGGGUUUAAAGGGUGCGUAGGCGGAAUGCCAAGUCAGGGGUAAAAUCGCGGGGCUCAACCUCGCUCCGCCGUUGAAACUGGCGUUCUUGAGUGGGCGAGAAGUAUGCGGAAUGCGUGGUGUAGCGGUGAAAUGCAUAGAUAUCACGCAGAACUCCGAUUGCGAAGGCAGCAUACCGGCGCCCAACUGACGCUGAAGCACGAAAGCGUGGGUAUCGAACAGGAUUAGAUACCCUGGUACU